rnacentral:pre_miRNA from 1 species
UAUUAAAAAUUUAAUUUAUUUUUAUGGUUAAAAUUAGUGUGGUUAACGGAAUAAUCAAAUAGUUAUACAUAACAUACCAUGUGUACCUCACGCUAACAUAUAGGGACCAAUUUUUAAAAGUAGGAAUUGAUGGAUAUUUUAACA